AGUGAACGCUGGCGGUAGGCCUAACACAUGCAAGUCGAACGGCAGCACAGUAAGAGCUUGCUCUUACGGGUGGCGAGUGGCGGACGGGUGAGGAAUACAUCGGAAUCUACUUUUUCGUGGGGGAUAACGUAGGGAAACUUACGCUAAUACCGCAUACGACCUACGGGUGAAAGCAGGGGAUCUUCGGACCUUGCGCGAUUGAAUGAGCCGAUGUCGGAUUAGUUAGUUGGCGGGGUAAAGGCCCACCAAGGCGACGAUCCGUAGCUGGUCUGAGAGGAUGAUCAGCCACACUGGAACUGAGACACGGUCCAGACUCCUACGGGAGGCAGCAGUGGGGAAUAUUGGACAAUGGGCGCAAGCCUGCUCCAGCCAUACCGCGUGGGUGAAGAAGGCCUUCGGGUUGUAAAGCCCUUUUGUUGGGAAAGAAAAGCAGCAGGUUAAUACCCCGCUGUUCUGACGGUACCCAAAGAAUAAGCACCGGCUAACUUCGUG
rnacentral:rRNA from 1 species